GUGCAGCCUUGUUGGAGUUGUCAUGCCGCAGCAGAGGUCGAGGCCCUGAGAUUUAAGUGUUUUGUGUGAUAUUGCAUACACAGAUUGCGUGCUGCACACGCUGCCGCCUGGAGUGCACGGGGUGUUGGUCCUCCAGUCGUUAAGGUCGAUCUCAGCCGUCCCAGCGAUGACCAGCUCCAGCUCUCUCGCGUCAAACACAGACACCAAGCGGGAAUCCACCACCUGCACACACAAAGUAAAAUUGAGAUCCAGGACGUCUGUGAUGUCGUUGUCCUUCAUCCACUGUAAACUCUGGUGGAACUCUUCAUCCAAAUACUCCAGAUCGCUCAGGUCGGUUGCUCUGAACACAAUGAAAACAUUCAAACAAAUCCAAAUCGUUACAGUACAGCAGCAUUGAAAGAUUUUCAACCUUGAACCCUAAGCUUUGUGAGCAGGAGAUGAUGUACAGUGAGACGUACCCUUCCUCGCCAACGAAGCCCUUGGCUUCCAGUUUCCUGUAGAAGUUACGAAGUUUGGCCUCAAAGUCUCUGCGAUAUGGAGCUGGAGCACGAGCUCUUUGAGUUCCUAUAAAGCCAAAAUGAGAGAUGAUCAGACUCAUAACUAUAGAACGUCUCACAUGGAUGUUUUGCGCCAAUCUGAACCCACCUGGAGAAUUUUGCGGGGAGGAGCCGGGGG